AAACAGUAUCUCUAUUAUCCCUCCGUCCCCGCCCAUAACCCACAAGUCCAUCAGGAACAAUGCCUCUGCAGUCAGUCCUCCUUCUCCGGCCAUAUCCCAUAAGUCCAUGGAUCCUUGUCAGGAGUUGCUGUUCCGCCGGUCGCUGACGCUGCCCCUGGCCUCUCUCUGGUUGUAGAUCGCAGGAGCCGUUGCUGUCGGUUCGAUGAAGGUACUUCAGUUGGGGCCUCCUCCUCGUCGCUCCUUCUUCCUCCAGCGUGGGUAGCCUGUCCCUCCCGCUCCACGGACGAACCCUCUGGCCACGAUGGCAAGACACUUCAAAAUGCAACCAGUCGUUAAGAUGCUCGAAAGCAGUUUGAGAAGAUAAGUACAUGUGAUUCAAAAGCAAUCAAGUUGUUGUCACGGACGCCCAUUCGUACCAUAACAGACAAUGCGAUCCUAUGCAGCUCGUCGGCGACUUUCGGCCGCGUUCGGCUCCGAUUCGACUGUAAGCAGAUUGCCACUCUGACGUAUGUGGCGCGAGACUCGGGCUUUCGGACUCAAACGCUCAUAGCAAUAAAUCUUAUGGAGAAUCUCCAUUAAUCCAUUUAAAACCUAAAACUGGUUGCAUCAGAAGCGUUUCAGCAGUUUGCAAACCAUAAAGACUAUUUACAAGGUAAUGAAACUGUUAUAUAAAUGUGAAUACGUGUGUAGGCUUGUCCCGAAUUGAAAAUCUCAUGCCAACAAGCUGACCCAAGUUGGCAACCCUGCGUAAGUCGCCCCCCUUAUUUUAUAUGCAAAAAUGAUCAUAUGCAGGGGGCACAUAACUGAUAUGAAAGUACUCAUUCGCUGUCUAAAGCGAUACGCGCGGUAAUGUUUUGUAGCAGCGCAAAUGCGUAUUUACUUUAUGUGCAUACGCGCUGUUAUGACAAGAAAUCAUUGUGUAUUUUAGCCUUCAUGCCGCGAAAGAAUUACAAAUUAGCCUAAAUGUUAAGAUGCACGGUAAUUUCUUGUCAUAACAGCGUGAAUGCACAUAAAAUAAAUACGCAUUUGCGCUGCUACAACAAGGAGUUGCCCCGCGUGUACGAGGAAUGCGUACUUGCGCACCAUGCAGUUAUGUGCGCUCCUGAUCAUAUGUAUAGUAUAUUGUACAAUAAAUGCUAUAAUAUUUAAGUCGUAUCGUUUGCUGUUUUUUAAUAUUUUAAUCAUCAUUUUCUUCGUUCAUUCCUGACGACAAUUGGGCCAGAGACUGUCAUACGCUCUCGGUAACACUCACAACCAGAUGUAGCACAACAGUGAAACAUUUACAAAUGUGACAAAAGGUCUUCUCUGUGUCCAUUAAUUCACACAUAGAGUUUUAAUCCCGUUUCAUGAAAAGCUGUAGUUAUGUUGCCCCUGACAAUUCCAAAAUUCUUUUUGCAGCAAACUGACAAACCGAAUAAGCCCAGGACACUGGAAAAUGCUUGAAAAACAUGAUUGGUUCUGUGGACUGUGGCGCGUUCCUGUUGAUUGUUGUCACGUCACGGAUCGGGGAAGCAGGAGCAGGAAGAUGGAGAAUCUGGAAACCAGCUAGGAACACAGGACAAUAGAAGUAGGGACUUAAAUGACUGGACGGGGAAAAUAUAUUUUGACGCGGAGUUAAAUACAUAGAACUAAUGAAAACAACUGGAAACAGCGAAUGACAUGGAGAUUCCACACGAGGUUAACGAGGGGGCGUGGCACUCGGGAGGAUCGGACGAGCGCGCGUGACAAUUGUAAGAGAGACCACCUUGAAUUGUUGG